AACCCUGUGUUAAACGCUUCACGUUUCAUCAUUCGUGACCAACGUGAUGGUAUUUGGAGGUAGGACCUUUGGGAGGAUAUUAUGUUAUGAGGGCAGAGCCUUAUGUUCAUUCCUUACAAGAGACCCUAGAGAGCUAGCCCUUCUCUUCGGCCACGUGAGGUUACAGGGAGAAGAUGACCAUCUGUGAGGAAGCAGGACUCACCAGCCACGAAUCUGCCAUCACCCUGAUCUUGGACUUCUCAGCCUCCAGAACUGCGGAGAAGCUGGAACCCAGAGAGGGUGUGCGACCUGCCCCAGAAAAGCAGACCAGGAUAUACUUCAGAAUGGAGCCUAUGAUGUGAAGCAGUCAAAUCCCACCAACAUUAAGAAUUAAUGAGCUGUCUGUUCUCUUAUGAACGUAAUGUAUAAAUUCUGCUGCUCUGUGCCAUUCUGAUUUAGAACUGAAGAUGAAAGUAAUUGUGAAGGUGAAGGACAGCAUUGGGAACUAUUCUUAGAAUCCUGCAACAAAUGAAUUUUGUUUUAAGGCACUCAGUUGGGCCUUAUUUGAUUUUAUGAACUUUCUUAUCUGUUUCUUGAACUGUAGCUAGGGAAUACUGCUCUUCCCAAUUUCUCUAGUUGUUAUUAGGACAAAUUCAUAGUGUCUGAUGAGAAAGAUAUAGAGGGAUAGGAGCUUAGUCUAGUGAAGAAAUUAAAGAAAUCCUGAGUUGACCCCAUGUUUAAUUUCCUUUGAGCUUAUUAACACUUUGCUGGUCAGUGAUAGCUGGGGCAUCAGGUAUACCCACAGGCAAACAGUGCAGGGGUUUACCAAGGAGUUUUACAGGCAUGACUUUCAGAUACUGUGACAAGGAUCCUUCGUUUGCUGCUCUUACAAAUAACUUCGCAGGCUCCGAGUCCAGACACAGAGAGCGCUCAGCAGCAGCCGGCAAGCUCGUGGAGGGUCUGAGGAGGUGGGUUCCCGGCUGGCGACAGCGGAAGGCAGAGGAUUAUCGCUGAGAACGGGAAGGGCAGAGAGAAGACAAAGAGCUGCAGAGGAGACGGAGAUGAUAAACAGCACGGAAGCCAAGUUAGAGGGAUGGAAUUAAGAGCUCAGAGGAAGGAAAUGACCUUUCAAGAGGACGCACUUGAACUCCGCAGCCUCUCUUCUCUCCCUUCUCCGACAGACAGAAAUCAAGCUAGUGCCCAAUCAACUGUGUCUAUUUCUUCCCCCACUUUCAAUUUUUCUCAAACCAAAACCCAGACAAAUCACUGGGUGGCAACAUCAUUAAAUGUUUAUAAGACCAAGCAUGCCCAUCGUUGUGGUGUUUACAAUAAAGAUUGAUAACAACCUUGCAAAUCCGAAUGGGUUAAGUACAUUAGGAACAUCGUUCGUAGGACAGACAAUAUGCUAUGAAUCAGACAUGACUUGAAAAAAAUUGAAUGUGAGAAAAUGGUCAUGGAAAUAUUAUGAAAUGAAAUGCAAGUUGUCAGUCAGCUUAUGCCACAUGUUUUCAGUUGUUAAAAUGUGGUCAUUUGUGUAUGAGAAAGGACCAGAAGGAUAUACAUCAAAAUGUCAGCAACAGUUAUAUCUGAGUGGGAGGAUUACAGGUGUUUUUUAUUUUCCCCUUCAUGUUUUUCUAA